rnacentral:rRNA from 1 species
UACGGGGGGGGCAAGCGUUGUUCGGAAUUACUGGGCGUAAAGGGCUCGUAGGUGGCCAACUAAGUCAGACGUGAAAUCCCCAGGCUCAACUUGGGAACUGCGUCUGAUACUGGAUGGCUUGAAUUCGGGAGAGGGAUGCAGAAUUCCAGGUGUAGCGGUGAAAUGCGUAGAUAUUUGGAGGAAUACCGGUGGCGAAGGCGGCAUCCUGGACCGAGAUUGACACUGAAAAGCGAAAGCCAGGGGAGCAAACGGG